GUUGAGUCUCUGCACAGCUGCCGCGCUGACGCGUUUUCCGCGUGUCCCGAGCCCCGGCGGCCCCGCGAGCUCGGUCCGUGCGGGGAAAGCAGGGCUGACGCCGUCUGCGGAGAGGACUGCGCAGCCGGGCUUGUGUGGGGCCGCGCGUAACGGCAGCGGCUACUCCCUGCCCAGGCCGGCCAGCACAGGGCCAUGGCCGAGGCGGCUGCGCCUCCGGACUGGCAUUGCGGACUGACCUCCAGGGAGAGGCCCAGAUCUGAUCUGCAGAGAUCUCCCUUCCGGCUAUCGUGGCUGCUGUUCAGGUGGUGGAGAAGAAGAUGGAACCCCAGGCUGCCUGGCUACAGAGCCUGGAGGGAUGCAUGUGGACAGCCAAGAAGAAGCUGGCUGACUGCGAGAAGGUGGCUGUGGAGUUCGGGAACCAGCUGGAGGUGCCUGUGACUCCUGAAGACACGGUCGGGUAUUUCUCAGAGCAGCAGGGUGGCGGCCUGGAGGACUCAUAGAAGGAGUUCUGCAAAUGUGUUGUGAAGGGGAGCUGCGACACCCUGAGCUUCCUGGGUGAGAGGCUGGCCUCUGGGGGCCUCCACACCUUGGUUUUACUCCUUUAUUCAAUCACAUGAGACUCCUGAAUCUCAGAGCAGGAAGCAUGUGGAGAUCAUUUCUUCAGCCCUCUGUCUUCAGGCAGGUAGAAGGUAUCUGUCAUUCUCAUUUUGAAGUUUUAUGUAAUGAAAUGCAGAGGUUAUGUGACUUGUUCCAGAUUUCUUGGAGUAAAUAAACUGGAAUCUGCUCCUCGCUGUCCUGCCCUUCGCGUGGUGCCAGAGGCAGCUCCUGCGUGCACACCUGUGGCUCACCAGCCUAUCUGCUCCUGGGGAGCUGGGGCCUCCCCUGGUUUACAUCUGCAUCUCUAGGACUCCCACGCUGCACUCUGCACACUGAGUUCUCAGGAGAUUCCUGCUGAGCAAAGAAGGAUGAAUUGUAGGCCUGCUUUUUUUUUUUUUUUUUUUGAGACGGAGUUUUGCUCUUGUUUCCCAGGCUGGAGUGCAAUGGCGUGAUCUCAGUCACCACACCCUCCGCCUCCCGGGUUCAAGUGAUUCUCCUGCCUCAGUUUCCUGAGUAGCUGGGACUACAGGCAUGGGCCACCACACCCGGCUCAUUUUAUAUUUUUAGUAGAGACGGGGUUUCUCUAUGUUGGUCAGGCUGGCCGCGAACUCCCAACCUCAGGCGAUCCUCCCGUCUCGGUCUCCUAAAGUGCUGGGAUUACAGGAGUGAGCCACCAGGCUUGGCCAGGCCUGCUUUUAAGGAUGCCCCAGGUCCAGAAAAUCAGGGCCAGGCCUGGGAAGUUCGCUCCUUCAGGCAGGUGUGCGUCUUCGUGUGAGACUUGAUCAGACCUGGGUUUUUGUAGCUACCCCACUCCGAAGCUCUCCUGCGUGAACCUGGAAUUCUCACUGCUUUGGGCAGAGGUUCCUCCUUCAGAAAAGGGUCCCAGUGUGCUGUGGGAGGCAGGGUGAGGAGGCUGUCCGGCCUCAGGCGAGGAAGGAGAAGCACGUGGAAGGAAGGGCAGCAGGAAGCCUGAGCCUGACUGCCAUGGAUGGCCAGACCCACUCUUGGGCCUCAGUUUCCUCAUCUGUCUGGACUAGGCCAGGCCACCACCAAGCCAGAUCUGGCACCAGUGGAGAAAGGAGACAGGCAGGCAACUGCAGCCUGCCCAGUGCGGAGAGGGGCCAGAGCCCGGGCACUGGGCCCUGGUUAAUGGUGGAGCCAGCCUGGUGUGUGGCAGCCAGGUCGGGCUGGUGUCUUCAGAGUGGCUGUGUCAGAAGGGCCUCGUGUAUGACAGAAACGCAGGCCAGCUGGAACGUCCCCAGGCGUUCUGUCCUGGAUCAAGCAAGAGGAAGGGGCAAGUGGGAGGAGCCAGCAGGGCCCACAGGAGACCACUGUGGCACACCUGUGCUCAGGCAGCAUGGUGCUGGGCGCUGCAGGGGCUCAUUAAUGCAUGAGACACAGAUUCCACUCAGGAGAGAGAAGACGAACACAGACACAGUACACGGUGGGAAGGGGCACUUCCAUGUCUGCAGCCAGAGAGCCCUUUCAGAAUCUGACCCAAAAGAUGGCCAGUAUUCUAAGAAAAAGCACAUAUGCUUACGAUGUGCAAACAGCUGAAGGUGUUCUUUCAACUAUAGUAAAAGGGGUGUCUCGGUGGCCACAGGCGGCCCAGAUGAAGAGACCUGUCUGGGCCGCAGAGAGGAGUCUGGAGGCCCCCCGAGCCAGGCUGAGCCAGCCGCUAGGGGCACGGAGCAGUGCCCACCUUGCGCCCAGUGUGGCCAGAGCUUCGGCCAGAAGGAGCUCAGUGCGCCGCACCAGCGCGUGCAUCGUGGCCCCCGGCCUUUCGCUGGUGCUCAGUGUCCCAAGAGCUUCACGCAGCGGACCACCCCCGCCAGCCACCGUCGGGCGCACGUGGCCGAGUGCACCUACACCCGCGCCCAAUGCGGCAAGACCUUCCUCCAGCAGUCGACGCUCACACCCACUACUGCGCGCACAUCAGGGAGAAGCCCUACGAGUGCGCCAAGCUCUUUGGCCGCCUGUCCACGCUGCUGGAGCACCGGCACAUGCACACGGGUGAGCGGCCCUUCCAGUGCACGCAAUGUGGCUGCUGCUUCAGCCGCCUGUCCACGCUGCUGGAGCACCGGCACACACACAUCAGCGAGAAGCCCUUCCAGUGUGCGCAGUGCGACAAGCGUUUCACGCGUCUGGCCAACCUGACCGUGCACCAGAGAGUGCACUUGGGCGAGCGCUCCUUCCAGUGCGCCCAGUACAGCAGGAGAUUCAUGCAGAAGCCCGGCUUCCUGCGUCAUCUGUGUGGCCACUCGCAGGAGAAGCACUAUCCUUGCAGCCCUUGUGGUUCCCAUGAUCAGUGGUGAAAUAUAGUGAUUUUCACCUGUGCUUCCAUUCUGAAGUUCUGGAAAGAAGUACUGGAUGGACUGAAGUCCAGGACAACGUCCCAAAGAAAGGCAGAGUCCAGGUAGGCUUGGAGGACCAAGCCCUGGAUGAGCACUGGAGGGCAGAGGCCUCAGUGUCCAGCACUGUGCCCUGCACAUGGAAAGCCCCUACGUUUGUGGAAUGAAUGAAUAAUAAAAAUGUUUUCAUAAGUGAUGCCAUUCUC
rnacentral:lncRNA from 1 species